UUUAGAGUAAAUUACAUAAAUGGUCCCUAUGAUUUUAAGUAGUUUUUACGUUUGAUCACUAACUUAUUUUUUUAUUCGUACGAUCCCUAUUUUAUGUUUUUGUUACGUCAUCCGCCGGUCCUGACCAACUUAAAAUGACUAAAUUACCCUAUUGUAUUUAUUUUGUAUUUUCUUUAAAAAAAAUUUCUUUUAUUGUUGGGUAAUUUACACGAAUGGUCACUGUGGUUUUGGGUAGUCUGCACGGUUGGUUCCUAGAAAAAAUUUUUAACUCGGAUCGUCCAUGCUGUUUGUGUUUGUUACGAUUUCGGUCCCCAACCAACAUGAAAAGACCACUAUACCCUUAUGCAUUAUUUUAACUUAUCGUUUAUUAAUAACUAAAUUAUUAUAAGAUUUUUUAUACGUGUGGGUCCCACUCGUUCUUUUCUUCCUCCUCAUUGCUUCAGGAACUUCAUCAUUGACACCCCCUCCUUCCCCAACCACCGUCCCAUGCCGUACACCUCUGUCCCUUUGUGUUUCCGAUGAUUACAUACACAACACAAGGCUUUGAAAACCAAACUGGAUUUCAAGCUCUAUUCUCAAACCUGCAAAUCAGAUAUCGUUUUAGGAGAUCAGAUCUUCAAACCUGCAAAUCCUACAUUCUCUCUGUCUAAUAGAUUCAACACCACCUCUAUCUUUGCCACCACUUCCAUUCAUCAUCGCCAACACAACCCGUCGUCUCUGCAACCUCCACCAAUGCACCCUAUGUCACCUGAACAUCGUCUAUCGUCACUGAAACUUGCAAAAACAACAGAAAAUAUUAUCGAAAAACUCUGCCACCUGCAGAUCUUGUAGUUUAGUCAAAUAAAUCAAAAUCCAAACAAUUUAGGGAAACUUGGAGAUUGAAGGAUUGCGAACAUAUCAUGAUUCAUGUGCAUCUCGAUCUCUCUCAUGUCCCCCUGUCGUAUGAGAAAUUGAAUCGAAUGAGUGGUGAGAAUCAAUUUUCAGAAAAUCCACCAACCAUCGAUAAUUUUGCAUUCGUCCUGCCCUUCGCUUUCAUUAGGUUUCAGAUUGGUUUAGUUCUCAACUGGGUUGAGUUUCAGAUCGGGUUAUCAAAUUGAAUGAUUGAGCAUGAACGGACGAUUGGAGAGGGUGUGAGGAUGAGAAAGAUCGGGUCACCGAAAUCUGGAACGGGAAAGAGACGAAGAGGGUGAGAGGCGGUGAAGCAUGAAGAACUGGGAGAAGGAGCGAAGCUUUAGGGUUUUUAUUCUUUAUUAUUUUAUUUUAUAUUGAUAUUAUAUAUAGUUUAUUUAUAAAUAAUGAGUAAAUAAAAAAUAUUAAAAUGGUUUAAAAAGUAUAAGAGCAUAAUAUUCAUUUUAGAAUGGAAAAGACCAAUCGUACAAUAAAAAUAUAAGAUAGGGAUGGUCCAAGUUAAAAAAAGUUAUUGGGGACCAAACACGAAGAUUACCUUAAACCAUAGGGACCAUUCGGUGUGAUUACAAGAAACUCAAUUCCACCCCAAAUAAGACCUACAUGUCUUCAUUCUCACUUUGGGCGUCGGUUUUUCU
rnacentral:lncRNA from 1 species